GUUGAAACGCAGGUUAUCAUACGAUCACCGAAGUUAAGCAACGUCGAGUAUAGGCAGUACGUAGAUGGGCGACCGUUUGUGAGUACCAGGCACUGUAAG